UUUUUACACAGGCAGUUGAGUUCCAUAGACUAUGGCAUUUUAUUUUUCAGGCAGAGAAACUUUUUUUUAAUUGUAUACACAGACACGUACACAUACACACCCGCCUUACGUCAUGAAAACGUAAUCUCUAGCGUAAGUUUGAACUAGCGUAAUCACAAAGCAACUUCAUUUUCAUUUUCAGUUUUGGAAAUCCACUGCAGGGGAAGAGGGACUUAUUUCUUUACUCUGCCAGCCCUCCAUCCACUACCACUCUCUGGGAUUGACUUCUGAACCUCCUGAUGGGGACAAAGGAGAGAAGAGAGCAAAUAUUCCCAUCCCCAAGACAAGCUAAGUAUCCAUUUGUGGGAAAAUAUUGAUGGCCUGGACUAAGGCAGUAGCAACGAGGAAAGACCAAAGGCCGGCAUGGGAGAGAAUGUCAUUAAGGGGGACAGAUCAACAGCACGUGGUGCCUGAUUGGAAAUACGGAGGAAACCAUGGAAAAGAUGCAAUCAUUUCCUCGCAUAUGGUACAUAUGGAGAUGGAAUCAUUACAGGACAAGUGGAGAUGCAAUCAUUAUGCUCUAUAUAAACCCAUUUUCAUGGCAUGACACAGCAGAUGAAGAUGGGACCCUUUCUUUGCUGGAAGACCUAUUCCCAGUUAGGUUUCAAAUGAUAUGCUUAUUGCCCUAAACAAGAAUCAGGUCCUACAGGUAUUUUUUAUGUUGCAUAUGAAAAUGUGAACAUUACCUUUGAGAAUGUGGUAGAAGUGAUGCAAGCAAGUUCCAGGCAUAUGUCUUAAUCAAUCUUACAGUUUCCACUGUAUACCUUUUUUUCCCUGAAAUGCCUCAAGAGGACACCUGGGAUAGACUCCUUAAGCACAUGAGGCCACGUGGGUAGAGAGACCCCGAAAAAUGAAAGACCAAGAGAGAAGAAAGGAACCCAAGCAGGCCCCAGCCAUUCUAGCCAUUCCAGUUGAGGUGCUGGACCUGUGAGGGAGGCCACCUUAGAUCAUCCAGGUCGACUGGAGCUUCCAACUGACUUCAAACACGUGAGUGAGUCCAGCCAAUGCCACAUAGAGCAGAGACAAGCCACCCAGCUGAGCCCAAUUCCAAUUAUAGAAUCACAAGCAAAUAAUUUAUUGUUGUUAUUUUAAGCCACUAAGUUUUGGGGUGAUUUGUUACAUGGUAAUAAAUAAGUAAAAUAACUGUGCA
rnacentral:lncRNA from 1 species